AGAGUUUGAUCCUGGCUCAGGAUGAACGCCGGCGGUGUGCCUAAUACAUGCAAGUCGUACGCACUGGCCCAACUGAUUGAUGGUGCUUGCACCUGAUUGACGUUGGAUCACCAGUGAGUGGCGGACGGGUGAGUAACACGUAGGUAACCUGCCCCGGAGCGGGGGAUAACAUUUGGAAACAGAUGCUAAUACCGCAUAACAACAAAAGCCACAUGGCUUUUGUUUGAAAGAUAGCUUUGGCUAUCACUCUGGGAUGGACCUGCGGUGCAUUAGCUAGUUGGUAAGGUAACGGCUUACCAAGGCGAUGAUGCAUAGCCGAGUUGAGAGACUGAUCGGCCACAAUGGAACUGAGACACGGUCCAUACUCCUACGGGAGGCAGCAGUAGGGAAUCUUCCACAAUGGGCGCAAGCCUGAUGGAGCAACACCGCGUGAGUGAAGAAGGGUUUCGGCUCGUAAAGCUCUGUUGUUGGAGAAGAACGUGCGUGAGAGUAACUGUUCACGCAGUGACGGUAUCCAACCAGAAAGUCACGGCUAACUACGUGCCAGCAGCCGCGGUAAUACGUAGGUGGCAAGCGUUAUCCGGAUUUAUUGGGCGUAAAGCGAGCGCAGGCGGUUGCUUAGGUCUGAUGUGAAAGCCUUCGGCUUAACCGAAGAAGUGCAUCGGAAACCGGGCGACUUGAGUGCAGAAGAGGACAGUGGAACUCCAUGUGUAGCGGUGGAAUGCGUAGAUAUAUGGAAGAACACCAGUGGCGAAGGCGGCUGUCUGGUCUGCAACUGACGCUGAGGCUCGAAAGCAUGGGUAGCGAACAGGAUUAGAUACCCUGGUAGUCCAUGCCGUAAACGAUGAGUGCUAGGUGUUGGAGGGUUUCCGCCCUUCAGUGCCGGAGCUAACGCAUUAAGCACUCCGCCUGGGGAGUACGACCGCAAGGUUGAAACUCAAAGGAAUUGACGGGGGCCCGCACAAGCGGUGGAGCAUGUGGUUUAAUUCGAAGCUACGCGAAGAACCUUACCAGGUCUUGACAUCUUGCGCUAACCUUAGAGAUAAGGCGUUCCCUUCGGGGACGCAAUGACAGGUGGUGCAUGGUCGUCGUCAGCUCGUGUCGUGAGAUGUUGGGUUAAGUCCCGCAACGAGCGCAACCCUUGUUACUAGUUGCCAGCAUUAAGUUGGGCACUCUAGUGAGACUGCCGGUGACAAACCGGAGGAAGGUGGGGACGACGUCAGAUCAUCAUGCCCCUUAUGACCUGGGCUACACACGUGCUACAAUGGACGGUACAACGAGUCGCAAGCUCGCGAGAGUAAGCUAAUCUCUUAAAGCCGUUCUCAGUUCGGACUGUAGGCUGCAACUCGCCUACACGAAGUCGGAAUCGCUAGUAAUCGCGGAUCAGCAUGCCGCGGUGAAUACGUUCCCGGGCCUUGUACUCACCGCCCGUCA
rnacentral:rRNA from 1 species